AGUUUGAUCCGGCUCAGAUUGAACGCUGGCGGGAUGCUUUACACAUGCAAGUCGAACGGCAGCACGGACUUCGGUCUGGUGGCGAGUGGCGAACGGGUGAGUAAUGUAUCGGAACGUGCCUAGUAGCGGGGGAUAAUCACGCGAGCGCAGCUAAUACCGCGCAUACGCUCUUCGGAGGAAAGCGGGGACCGGGCCUGCACUAUUAGAGCGGCCGAUAUCGGAUUAGCUAGUUGGUGGGGUAACGGCUCACCAACAUGACGAUCCCGUGAAGUCGUCGAGGAGGACCACUCAGCCACACUGACUGAGACACGGUCCAUUCCUACGGGAGGCAGCAGCGGGGAAUUUUUGACAAUGGGGAAACCCCUGAUCCAGCCAUCCCGCGUGCGAUGAAGGCCUCGGGUUGUAAAGCACUUUUGGCAGGAAAAAGAAACGGCACGGGAUAACACCUCGUGCAACUGACGGUACCUUGCAGAAUAAGCACCGCUAACUACGUGCCAGCCGCAGAAGGCGAAAAAAUAAGCGUUAAUCGUAAUUACUGGGCGUAAAAGCGUGUGCGCAGGCGGUUCGGAAAGAAAGAUGUGAAACCCAGAGCUUAACUUUGAACCUGCAUUUUUAACUACCGAGCUAGAGUGUGUCAGAGGGGAGGUGGAAUUCCGCGUAGCAGUGAAAUGCGUAGAUAUGCGGAGGAACACCGGAUGGCGAAGGCAGCCUCCUGGGAUAACACUGACGCCUGCGCAACAAAGCGUGGGGAGCAAACAGGAUUAGGUACUCCCGUAGUCCACGCCCUAAACGAUGUCAACUAGCUGUUGGGGCCUUCGGGCCUUUGGUAGCGCAGCUAACGCGUGAAGUUGACCGGCCUGGGGAGUACGGUCGCAAGAUUAAAAUCAAAGAAUUGAUGUAAGACCCGCACGCGGUGGAUGAUGUGAUUAAUUCGAUGCAACGCGAAAACCUUACCUACCCUUGACAUGUCUGGAAUCCCGAAGAGAUUUGGGAGUGCUCGCAAGAGGAACCGGAACAUGGGUGUUGCAUGGCUGUCGUCAGCUCGUGUCGUGAGAUGUUGGGUUAAGUCCCGCAACGAGCGGCAACCUCUUGUCAUUAGUUGCUACGAAAGCGGCACCUAAUGAGACUGGUGACAAACCGAGGAAGGUGGGGAUGACGUCAAGUCCUCAUGGCCUCUUAUGGGUAGGGCUUCAUACACGUCACAGCAAUGGUCGGGACAGAGGGUCGCCAAACGAGGGAGCUAACCCCAGAAACCCGAUCGUAGUCCGGAUCGCAGUCUGGUAACUCGACUGCGUGAAGUCGGAAUUCCGGCAAUUUAUUCAGCGAACGCGGUGAAUACGUUCCCGGGUCUUGUACACACCGCCCGUCACACCAUGCGGAGUGGGUUUUACCAGAAGUAGUUAGCCUAACCGUAAGGAGGGCGAUUACCACGGUAGGAUUCAUGACUGGGGUGAAGUCGUAACAAGGUAA
rnacentral:rRNA from 1 species